AGUUCCCGAAACCACCCACCCCUUGAACUUAGAGAGAAAAUGUCUUAAAGAAUCAGGAAGAGGAAAGAGGGAAGAAAGUCAACAGCGUAACUGACAAAUAGGCCAUAGAUCCAAAACAUUAUAUAAGGGUAGCCUUAGGGGAGGGUGAGAAAGAAAAGUAGGAUGAAUGAUCCGCUGGCAGAGUCUGGAGUCCUGAUUCAUUCACUCACAUCUCAGCUGGACAGCUAAGAAGGCCCCAAAGAGUACACAGCUGGCAGAGAGUUCUUCAAUUCCACCUAAGCUCGUCUCUUAGACCUAAGAAAACCCAAGUCUGAAGAAUAACAACCAAGGUGCCCCAUUACCCUGUGGAACCAGACCCCCCCCCCAAUCUGGCUUUAUAAAUAAAGUUUUAUUGGCAUAGA
rnacentral:lncRNA from 1 species